rnacentral:rRNA from 1 species
GACGAACGCUGGCGGCGUGCUUAACACAUGCAAGUCGAACGGAAAGGCCCUGCUGUUGUGGGGUUCUCGAGUGGCUAACGGGUGGGUAACACGUGAGUGGCCUGCCCUUUGCUUUGGGAUAACUUCAGGAAACUGGGGCUAAUACCGGAUAGUAGCGCCUGCUGCAUGGUGGGGGUUGGAAAGUUUCGGCGGUUGGGGAUGGACUCGCGGCUUAUCAGCUUGUUGGUGGGGUAGUGGCUUACCAAGGCUUUGACGGGUAGCCGGCCUGAGAGGGUGACCGGCCACAUUGGGACUGAGAUACGGCCCAGACUCCUACGGGAGGCAGCAGUGGGGAAUAUUGCACAAUGGGCGGAAGCCUGAUGCAGCAACGCCGCGUGCGGGAUGACGGCCUUCGGGUUGUAAACCGCUUUCGCCUGUGACGAAGCGUGAGUGACGGUAAUGGGUAAAGAAGCACCGGCUAACUACGUG